rnacentral:tRNA from 1 species
GGGGAUUUAGCUCAGUGGUAGAGCGCUUGCCUAGGAAGCUCAAGGCCCUGGGUUCGAUCCCCAAUUCCGA